rnacentral:rRNA from 1 species
GUAAUAACAAAUAUGAAAACAAAAAGUUAUGGCGGUACUUUAAGCUUUUCAGAGGAAUUUGCUCUUUAAUGGAUAAAACACCUUAAUCUUACUAAAAUUAGUAAAUUCAGUUUGUAUACCACUAUGAAAGUAAUAAUUAAUUAUUAUUACUAUAAUUUUUAUACAACUAGAAAAAUAAAUUAAGUCAUGGUGCAGCAAAAAUUUUAGUGUGAAGUGAAUUACAUUUCUUUUAAGAAAUUAAAUAUGAAAACAAAAAUUAGGAUUUGAAAGUAAAAAUAUAAUAUAAUGAUAUUUUGAAUUAAGUUCUGAAGUAUGUAC